GAUGAACGCUGGCGGCGUGCCUAACACAUGCAAGUCGAACGGAAAGGGGCAAGAUUGCUUGGGUACUCGAGUGGCGAACGGGUGAGUAAGAAGUGGGUGAUCAGCCCUGCGCUGCGGGAGAAGACUGGGAAAAAGGGGCAAAUAAUGGAGAGGACCACAGCAAGGAUGGAGUGGUGGAAAGUCGGUCGGCGUGGGAUGAGCUCGCGGCAGAUGAGCUUGUUGGGGGGGUAGCGGCCUACCAAACCGAGGACGGGAAGCCGCCCUGGGAGGGUGUACGGCCACCUUGCUCCUGCGAUACGCCCCAGACUCCUACGUGGGGCAGCGGUGGGGAAUCUUACACAACGGGCCCACGCCUGUUGCAGCGACCCCCCGUUUGUGAUGUCCUCCUUCCGGUUGUAAACUCCUUUCGCUAGGGACCUAGCCCCAUUGACGUUACCUGGAGAAGAAGCACCGGCUAACUACGUG
rnacentral:rRNA from 1 species